GACGAACGCUGGCGGCGUGCUUAACACAUGCAAGUCGAACGAAGAGCGACGGAAGCUUGCUUCUAUCAAUCUUAGUGGCGAACGGGUGAGUAACGCGUAGUCAACCUGCCCUUCAGAGGGGGACAACAGUUGGAAACGACUGCUAAUACCGCAUACGAUCUAAUCUCGGCAUCGAGGAUGGAUGAAAGGUGGCCUCUACAUGUAAGCUAUCACUGAAGGAGGGGAUUGCGUCUGAUUAGCUAGUUGGAGGGGUAACGGCCCACCAAGGCGAUGAUCAGUAGCCGGUCUGAGAGGAUGAACGGCCACAUUGGGACUGAGACACGGCCCAGACUCCUACGGGAGGCAGCAGUGGGGAAUCUUCCGCAAUGGACGAAAGUCUGACGGAGCAACGCCGCGUGAGUGAUGACGGCCUUCGGGUUGUAAAGCUCUGUUAAUCGGGACGAAAGGCCUUCUUGCGAAUAGUGAGAAGGAUUGACGGUACCGGAAGAGAAAGCCACGGCUAACUACGUG
rnacentral:rRNA from 1 species